rnacentral:lncRNA from 1 species
CCACCUUGUGAGGCCCAGCUGCAUGUUUCCCCUUACUUCUGGCUUCUAAAUUCUUUUAUUGACUGGAUUAUUUUUCUUUGCCAGAUUUUCAGCUCUUCCAAGAGGUCUGAACACAUCCUCCACCCUUCCUCAGCUAUGGGAGCACAUGCUUAACCUGUAAUCAUCAUGACUGAAAACAGCAUCUGUCUCUGGAGCAAGAAGAAAUAAUGUGCUCUGUUCUGCUGCUCCCUAUUCAAAGGGGGAUCAUACUGGGAGGCAGAAGUUGCUGAGAAAGAGAAAGAUUUGGCACCUCUAUCAUUGAAGAAGAUGGAGAAGGAUAUGGAAAAGAACCUGCUCAUAUUUCAGUGGGCUGCCGGGGAAUUUCUUUUUGAUUUGCUUUCCACUCAUUUAUCUGCAGUUUAAAUCCAGUAACAAAAAAAUUAAAUUACUUUCUGCUGAGAACAAGGUCAUGUGUCUGAGCUCCGCUCUGUCCCGGAGAACUUGGGCUGUUCCCCUUUGCCAUCCAGGUAAUUCAAUUUACAAGGAGUUUGUAAGAUAAUGGUGGAUGAAACAUGAGCUUGUUAUGUCCAUGGAGAAAUUAAUUCUCAAAGG